UACAGAGGUCUCAAGCGUUGUUCGGAGCCACUGGGCGUAAAGGGUGCGUAGGUUGCGUGGUAAGUCAGAUGUGAAAGCCUGGGGCUCAACCUCAGAAUUGCAUCCGAUACUGCCGUGCUAGAGUACUGAAGAGGUGACUAGAAUUCUAGGUGUAGCAGUGAAAUGCGUAGAUAUCUAGAGGAAUACCAAAGGCGUAGGCAGGUCACUGGGCAGUUACUGACACUGAGGCACGAAGGCCAGGGGAGCAAACGGG
rnacentral:misc_RNA from 1 species